GAUGAACGCUGGCGGCGUGCCUAAUACAUGCAAGUCGAGCGAACAGACGAGGAGCUUGCUCCUCUGACGUUAGCGGCGGACGGGUGAGUAACACGUGGAUAACCUACCUAUAAGACUGGGAUAACUUCGGGAAACCGGAGCUAAUACCGGAUAAUAUAUUGAACCGCAUGGUUCAAUAGUGAAAGACGGUUUUGCUGUCACUUAUAGAUGGAUCCGCGCCGCAUUAGCUAGUUGGUAAGGUAACGGCUUACCAAGGCAACGAUGCGUAGCCGACCUGAGGGGGGGUUCGCCCCACCGGAAACUGAGACGCGGCCCAGCCCCUGAGGGGAGGCAGCAGUGGGGAAUCUCCCGCAAUGGGCGAAAGCCUGACGGAGCAACGCCGCGGGGGUGAAGAAGGUCUUCGGACCGUAAAACUCUUUUAUUGGGGAAAAACAAAUGUGUAAGUAACUAUGCCCGUCUGGAGGUAACCUAUACAGAAAGCCCCGCCAAACCCCGG
rnacentral:rRNA from 1 species